rnacentral:rRNA from 1 species
UAUUAUUUUUAAUUUUAAAUUUAAGGCCUGAGUAGUAUUAGUUAAGUUCUUGAAACUCAAAGAAUUUGGCGGUGUUUCAGUCUUUUCAGAGGAAUCUGUCCUGUAAUCGUUAAUACACGUUAGAUGUCACUUGUUAUUGUAUAAUCAGCUUGUAUACCGCCGUCAUAAGAAUAUCUUUUUAGGGUUUAAUUUUCUAGAUAUUAAAGAAAUAAUAUGUCAGGUCAAGGUGCAGUUUAUGAAUAAGUAGAGAUGGAUUACAAUAAAUUUAUUUAUACGGAGCUUAUAAUGAAAUUUAUGAGGGAAGGUGGAUUUGAAAGUAAUAUUAUUAUAUUAUAAUAGUAUGAUUAAAGUGCUGAAACAUGCACACAUCGCCCGUCACUCUCAUUAUUAAGAUGAG